UCAUUUAUUACUAUUUCAAAUUGCUAUAUAUUUUUCAAAUAAAAAUUUACGUACAAUUUACGUACGUUUUUAAAAAUAAUUAAUCCUUUUGUACCUAGUUGCCACGUAUGAAAUGAUGUCAAGAAAAAAAUCAUCUGAAAAGGAUACUAUAUCACGUGAAGAUUUAAUAAAAUUUAAGGAAGUAUAUAAUAAAGAAAUUCUCCAAUACUGCAAAACAAAUAAUAUAAAUAAUA